rnacentral:rRNA from 1 species
UACGGAGGGUGCGAGCGUUGUCCGGAAUCACUGGGCGUAAAGGGCGCGUAGGCGGCAUGCCAAGCGUGUGGUGAAAGCCCGGGGCUCAACCCCGGGUCGGCCGUCGAUACUGUUGGGCUUGAGCACUGUAGAGGCAGGUGGAAUUCCGGGUGUAGCGGUGGAAUGCGUAGAGAUCCGGAAGAACACCGGUGGCGAAGGCGGCGACUGGCUGGGCGUUAGCGACUGACGUGACGGCAGGACGAAAGCCGG